rnacentral:rRNA from 1 species
UACGAAGGGGGCUAGCGUUGCUCGGAAUCAUUGGGCGUAAAGAGCUCGUAGGCGGUGUGUCGCGUCGGCCGUGAAAACCUGGGGCUCAACUCUGGGCGUGCGGUCGAUACGGGCAUCACUGGAGUUCGGCAGGGGAGACUGGAAUUCCUGGUGUAGCGGUGAAAUGCGCAGAUAUCAGGAGGAACACCGGUGGCGAAGGCGGCUUCCUGGCCUGUUCUUGACGCUGAGGCGCGAAAGCUAGGGGAGCAAACGGG